AGAGUUUGAUCCUGGCUCAGGAUGAACGCUGGCGGUAUGCCUUAAGCAUGCAAGUCGAACGAUCUUGUCCUUUGGACAAGAAUUUUCAAAUUAUCCAAUAAUCCAAUAAAUACCAAUUAUCCAAUAAGAGCAAAAUUCUUAUUUGAUUAUUUGAGAAUUGGAUUAUUUGUUGAUUGGAAAUUCUCGCCCAGAGGGCGAGGUAGUGGCAGACGGGUGAGUAAUAGUAAGGAACGUACCCCAAGGUCAAGUAUAGCCUUCCGAAAGGAGGGGUAAUACUGGAUAGUUCCCGAUUUAAUCGGGUAAAGCACGUAACUGUGCGCCAUGGGAGCGGCCUUAUUCCUAUCAGCUUGUUGGUAGGGUAAAAGCCUACCAAGGCGAUGACGGGUAGGGGGCGUGAGAGCGUGACCCCCCACAAUGGCACUGAGACACGGGCCAUACACCUACGGGUGGCAGCAACUGGGAAUAGUUGUCAAUGGACGAAAGUCUGAACACGCGAUACCGCGUGAGGGAUGAAGUAUCUCGGUAUGUAAACCUCUUUUGCCAGAUCAUCGAGAUUUGGCGAAUAAGCACCUACAAACUACGUGCCAGCAGUCGCGGUAAUACGUAGGGUGCAAGCGUUAUCCGGAUUUACUGGGCGUAAAGUGUCGCGUAGGCGACUUCUUGUGUCACAUCUUAAAGAGUAAGGCUUAACCUUGCCGUUGGAUGUGAGACUAAGAAGAUUUGAAGAAGAGAGGAGUACCUGGAACUGACGGUGGAGUAGUGAAAUGCGUUGAUAUCGUCAGGAACACCAAAAGCGAAGGCAAGGUACCGGCUCUUUCUUGACGCUGAGGCACGAAAGCUAGGGGAGCGAAGCAGAUUAGAGACCUGCGUAGUCCUAGCCCUAAACGCAUGGAUGCUAGAUACCCCGUCGCAAAACCUAUGGGUUUUGCGACGAAAUCAAAAAUCAAAAUGUCCUGCAGAGCAGGAUCUGGCUUUGCCAGACAAAAUUCAAAAAUAUACAAGGUAUCCCUUCGGGACUAUUUAUAAAUUUGUCCUUGUUAAAUUUUGAUCUUUGACUUUUGAAUUUUAGAUUUCGCAAAAACGUAGUUUUUGCGAUGGGGUGUCGCAAGCUAACGCGUUAAGCAUCCCGCCUGGGGAGUACGAACGCAAGUUUAAAACUCAAAGGAAUUGACGGGGACCCGCACAACCAGUGGAGCAUGUGGUUCAAUUCGAGACGAAGCGAAAGACCUCACCAGGGUUCGACAUGUAACUGCAUGUCUAAGAAAUUAGGCAGCCUUCGAGGGUGUUACAAAGCUGCUGCAUGGCUGUCGUCAGCUCGUGCCGUGGGGUGUUGGCUUAAGUGCCAGAACGAGCGCAACCCCCAUCCAAUGUUAAAUUAUCAUUGGAGACCGCCCGCUUCUUUUUGAACUCACGAGUUCAAAAAGAGUUGCUUAGUUAUUAGUUAAUUAGUUACUUAGUAAUUUUCUAAGUAACUAAGCAUCUAAUCAACUAUGUAACUCAAAUUCGUAGAGUUUGAAAAGAAGCGGGAGGAAGGAGGGGACGACGUCAAGUCAGCACGGCGCUUAUGCCCUGGGCAACACACAUCCUACAAUGGCGAAAAACAACGAGAUGCAAGCUCGCGAGUGCAAGCCAAUCUCUGAAAUUUCGCCUCAGUUCAGAUUGCAGUCUGCAACUCGACUGCAUGAAGCCGGAAUUGGUAGUAAUCGCAGAUCAGCAUGGCUGCGGUGAAUACGUUCUCGGGUCUUGUACACACCGCCCGUCAAGUCAACAAAGUUGGAAGUAGCUGAAACUUGGGUUUCCCAAACUAAGCUAAGCCCAGCGAUGGGGACUAAGUCGUUGGCCUAUAAUAAUA
rnacentral:rRNA from 2 species